UGCAUCGUGCAGCGCAGGAUCCUGUCUAUUAUGGGAGGAUGUGAAAUCGGUGACUGAUUGAAGCUUGUUUCAUGAGAAGCCGUCCGACUUCUGAUACACUUUUCCUCGGCAACUUUGCAGUUCCUGCCUUCCUUGAGAAUCCCUGGAGGUUGAAGCAAGGAGAUGGAGUCCGUGACUUGUUGGCAAGUUGUCGUUUUUUUCAGGUUGAUACAUUUACAUGUUUUGCAUUUACAGUCAUGUUACGUGCCUGUGUUAACCCAGGAAUGUGCAGUAGUUUAUUUCUAUGUACUGAGUUGUUGAAUUGUGAUCGCUAUUUACCUGCUUGAUUGUGUGUAUGCUUAACGUCUUGGAUUCAUUGUGUAAUAAAAGUUGUAUUGUUUA